rnacentral:rRNA from 1 species
CAAUAGCGUAUAUUAAAGUUGUUGCGGUUAAAAAGCUCGUAGUUGGAUUUCUGCUGAGAACGACCGGUCCGCCCUUUGGGUGUGUAUCUGGCUCUUUCUUGGCAUCUUCUUGGUGAACGUUGCUGCACUUGACUGUGUGGAGCGCUACCCAGGACUUUUACUUUGAGGAAAUUAGAGUGUUUCAAGCAGGCAUACGCCUUGAAUACAUUAGCAUGGAAUAAUAAGAUAGGACCUCGGUUCUAUUUUGUUGGUUUCUAGAGCUGAGGUAAUGAUUAAUAGGGAUAGUUGGGGGCAUUCGUAUUUAACUGUCAGAGGUGAAUUUCUUGGAUUUGUUAAAGACGGACUACUGCGAAAGCAUUUGCCAAGGAUGUUUUCAUUGA